GGGGAAUAUUGCACAAUGGGGGAAACCCUGAUGCAGCAACGCCGCGUGAGUGAUGACGGUCUUCGGAUUGUAAAACUCUGUCUUUGGGGACGAUAAUGACGGUACCCAAGGAGGAAGCCACGGCUAACUACGUGCCAGCAGCCGCGGUAAUACGUAGGUGGCAAGCGCUGUCCGGAUUUACUGGGCGUAAAGGGAGCGUAGGCGGAUAUUUAAGUGGGAUGUGAAAUACUCGGGCUUAACCUGGGUGCUGCAUUCCAAACUGGAUAUCUAGAGUGCAGGAGAGGAAAGGAGAAUUCCUAGUGUAGCGGUGAAAUGCGUAGAGAUUAGGAAGAAUACCAGUGGCGAAGGCGGCCACCUGGACAGUAACUGACGCUGAGGCGCGAAAGUGUGGGUAGCAAAC
rnacentral:rRNA from 1 species